AGUGAACGCUGGCGGUAGGCCUAACACAUGCAAGUCGAACGGCAGCACAGUAAGAGCUUGCUCUUACGGGUGGCGAGUGGCGGACGGGUGAGGAAUACAUCGGGAUCUACUUUUUCGUGGGGGAGAACGUAGGGAAACUUACGCUAAUACCGCAUACGACCUACGGGUGAAAGCAGGGGAUCUUCGGACCUUGCGCGAUUGAAUGAGGCGAUGUCGGAUUAGCUAGUUGGCGGGGUAAAGGCCCACCAAGGCGACGAUCCGUAGCUGGUCUGAGAGGAUGAUCAGCCACACUGGAACUGAGACACGGUCCAGACUCCUACGGGAGGCAGCAGUGGGGAAUAUUGGACAAUGGGCGCAAGCCUGAUCCAGCCAUACCGCGUGGGUGAAGAAGGCCUUCGGGUUGUAAAGCCCUUUUGUUGGGAAAGAAGAGCAGCAGGUUAAUACCCCGCUGUUCUGACGGUACCCAAAGAAUAAGCACCGGCUAACUUCGUG
rnacentral:rRNA from 1 species